rnacentral:rRNA from 1 species
AGUGAACGCUGGCGGUAGGCCUAACACAUGCAAGUCGAACGGCAGCACAGUAAGAGCUUGCUCUUACGGGUGGCGAGUGGCGGACGGGUGAGGAAUACAUCGGAAUCUACUUUUUCGUGGGGGAUAACGUAGGGAAACUUACGCUAAUACCGCAUACGACCUACGGGUGAAAGCAGGGGAUCUUCGGACCUUGCGCGAUUGAAUGAGCCGAUGUCGGAUUAGCUAGUUGGCGGGGUAAAGGCCCACCAAGGCGACGAUCCGUAGCUGGUCUGAGAGGAUGAUCAGCCACACUGGAACUGAGACACGGUCCAGACCCCUACGGGAGGCAGCAGUGGGGAAUAUUGGACAAUGGGCGCAAGCCUGAUCCAGCCAUACCGCGUGGGUGAAGAGGGCCUUCGGGUUGUAAAGCCCUUUUGUUGGGAAAGAAAAGCAGCAGGUUAAUACCCCGCUGUUCUGACGGUACCCAAAGAAUAAGCACCGGCUAACUUCGUG